rnacentral:rRNA from 1 species
CAUUACCGAGUUCAUGCCCUUACGGGUAGACCUCCCACCCUAUGUUAUAUUACCUUUGUUGCUUUGGCGGGCCGCCCGGCUUCGGCCAGGCUACCGGCUCCAGCUGGUAAGCGCUCGCCAGAGGACCCCCAACUCUGAAUAUCAGUGUCGUCCGAGUACUAUAAAAUAGUUAAAACUUUCAACAACGGAUCUCUUGGUUCUGGCAUCGAUGAAGAACGCAGCGAAAUGCGAUAAGUAAUGUGAAUUGCAGAAUUCAGUGAAUCAUCGAAUCUUUGAACGCACAUUGCGCCCCUUGGUAUUCCGAGGGGCAUGCCUGUUCGAGCGUCAUUACAACCCUCAAGCACUGCUUGGUAUUGGGCUCCGCUGGCUCCAGCGGGCCUUAAAAUCAGUGGCGGCGCCGUUUGGGCUCUGAGCGUAGUAAAUAUCCUCGCUAUAGAGACCAGGCGGUUCUUGUCAUCAACCCCCAACUUUCUAAGUUUGACCUCGGAUCAGGUAGGGAUACCCGCUGAACUUAA